GCGGUGAGGUUUCCCAUGACGCGGCCUAACAAUGGAGUCUUGCACAGUCGAUAGCGAUACUCCAACUUCAACGGUGCAGCACCCGUCCUUCACUCCUGGGUGAAGCAGAAACCAGAGAGACCAGCUCCAAAGAAGAGAUGUUCUCCCACCAAG